rnacentral:rRNA from 1 species
AGGACGAACGCUGGCGGCGUGCUUAACACAUGCAAGUCGAGCGGUAAGGCCCUUUCGGGGGUACACGAGCGGCGAACGGGUGAGUAACACGUGAGUAAUCUGCCCUCCACUUGGGGAUAAGCUUCGGAAACGGGGUCUAAUACCGGAUAUGACCUCCUAUCGCAUGGUGGGUGGUGGAAAGAUUUAUCGGUGCAGGAUGGGCCCGCGGCCUAUCAGCUUGUUGGUGGGGUAAUGGCCUACCAAGGCGACGACGGGUAGCCGACCUGAGAGGGUGACCGGCCACACUGGGACUGAGACACGGCCCAGACUCCUACGGGAGGCAGCAGUGGGGAAUAUUGCACAAUGGGCGAAAGCCUGAUGCAGCGACGCCGCGUGAGGGAUGACGGCCUUGGGUUGUAAACCUCUUUCAGCAGGGACGAAGCGCAAGUGACGGUACCUGCAGAAGAAGCACCGGCUAACUACGUGCCAGCAGCCGC